rnacentral:rRNA from 1 species
UACGUAGGGUGCGAGCGUUAAUCGGAAUUACUGGGCGUAAAGCGUGCGCAGGCGGUCUUGUAAGUCAGAUGUGAAAGCCCCGGGCUUAACCUGGGAACUGCAUUUGGGACUGCAAGGCUGGAGUACGGCAGAGGGAGGUGGAAUUCCACGUGUAGCAGUGAAAUGCGUAGAGAUGUGGAGGAACACCGAUGGCGAAGGCAGCCUCCUGGGCUAGUACUGACGCUGAGGAGCGAAAGCGUGGGGAGCAAACAGG